rnacentral:lncRNA from 10 species
UCCUCAACCCUACCUCCCUCUGGCCCUCCCCUCUUUGUCCUAUCCUAGAUGGACACAUCUGUCACUUUUAAGUCCCUAUUGCUCAUCUGUCACGGUCCACAACCAAGAAGAGACAAGGGAAGGGGCCAGAUGAAUGUUCUGCCACCAAGAGGAAGACUUUGACAUUUAAAAAAUUCUCCAUCUCUCUCCAAGUGUCCCAUCCCCAACUCAGAAAUAAUAAUAAUGAAAAAUCCAUGAAGAGGACAUUAAUAUGUUGCAGAUGAAGACACUGAGGCUUGGAGAACUUAAAUUGCCCAAAGAGCUUCUCACACCUGUUGCCAUGGACUCCCAGGUUGAAGGUCACAUAACCUUAGCAUGCCCAGAUAAACCAAGUAUGCAACCACACGGGGAACCUAAGUGCUCAGACCAAGGAGCAGGAACUGAAUUAAGACACGGACACCACAUGGCAGAAUCCAAGAUCCAAUCAGAUCGAGCUCUGGAAUCACCCCAUGGUGGAAGCCAGUCAGAUCAUUCCUCUUGGCAUCACCUCAUUGCAAGAUCCAAUCAGAUCACGUCUCAUUACCCUAUCCUUAUAAAACCGGACAGACCUCAGCUCAGGAAGGCACUGCUUUGGGAGCUAUCACCCCUAUUUUCCUUAAUUACUUCAAGUAAUAAAAUC